GUCGCGGCAAAAUCCGUGACCGGGUUUAGCAGCCUGAAACCAGAAUGGCGCACAAGCGCCCCUCUCGAUGGCGCUUUUUUU
rnacentral:sRNA from 1 species